UACGAACCGUACAAACGUUAUUCGGAAUCACUGGGCUUAAAGGGUGCGUAGGCGGCCAUGUAAGUGAGGUGUGAAAUCCCUCGGCUCAACCGAGGAACUGCGCUUCAUACUGCAUGGCUUGAGGGAGACAGGGGUAAGCGGAACUGAUGGUGGAGCGGUGAAAUGCGUUGAUAUCAUCGGGAACACCGGUGGCGAAAGCGGCUUACUGGGUCUCUUCUGACGCUGAGGUACGAAAGCUAGGGUAGCGAACGGG
rnacentral:rRNA from 1 species